rnacentral:lncRNA from 1 species
AUGACACCAAAUGAGCAGAAGUUGUACAACCACGAUUAGUUUCUGUAAGCAACUUAGGAGCUUGUAGACGUUAGAUUCCCUUAUUCUUUCAGGAGGCUAAGCAAUGAAGUAGGACUGUGUAAUUUAUUCAUUACUUGGUCUCUUAAGGUAUAUCGAUUUGUUUAUUGAAACUGAAGAUUAGAGGCAAUUUAUUUGCUAAGGUUUGUUUUUUUUGUUGUUGUGAGUGAUUUAGGUGGAGAAGUGUGUAAUGGUUAGGAAGAAAGAUGUCUGUUUUGUAAAUACAUUUAUAUCCACUUUAUUUGCAAGUUUGAUUGAAUUACUGAACCAAAUCAGAAUCCAACUCACAAGCCACAAUGCCAUAAAACAUCGUUGGAGUUGUGGAGAAGAUGGAAAUAUAUCAAAUUGUCAUCUACAUACAAUUAUGUAACCACAGAGAGAGAAAGAUAGAUAGGAGUAACAUAAAGAUGUUUCUUGUGUUUGUCAAAUCUCAAGGAUCUUCAAAGAGUCAGCCACAACUUGAAGCUGCUUUUUCACUUUCCUCCACCUCCUCUCAUUUGCUCCAACUAUGAGUGUGUAGUAUCUGUCUGCAACAUCAAAUCAAUCAUAACACUUUUUUUUAUUCCUCACUUUCUUCUCUCAUUUAUCAGUAAAUCUAUAUCAUAAUCUGUGCUUACUGUUUCCAACUGCCACUGUUGCAAAGGAAGUGGUUGCAUAGAUGGGAGUUCUAAGUCCAUACUCAAACGUGUAAUAGUUCCUUCCAUCUUCCACCCUCUGCAUUUUCAUCUCUUAUUGUUUAUAAAGAUCCAAUCUCUCAACAACUUUGAUGAUUCUUUAAGAUGUUAACAAUCAUCUGACCUCUUUCAUAUCGUAAAUGGUAGCUACUUGGUUUGGUGCUGCAAACUUAUGCUUCACUAGAUCAUAAACCACCUGAUGAAGAUAUAAGAAUGAUGAACUAAUGUUAAUUCUCAAAUUACAUUCAUAGAAGGAAGCGGGAGAGUAAGAUGUGUAAUACAUACCUCUUCCAUAGGACCUACUUCACGGAUGUCGUUUUUCUCAAUUGGUAUGAACCUGACCCGAACAUUCUGCAGUUGCAAAUAUCUGUCUUUGAAGGCUGAAUCAUGCGCCCUGAAGUCAAAUUCCUAUAUGGUUUUGCGUGGAAAGAAAGAUCAUCUCAAAGCUUAUUCAUUUAAGUUUCAUCCUCACAACAACAAACGAAACAAAGCCAUAGCUUACCCACCCUCCAGUCUGAUGGGUAAUAGUAAGAAUACCCGUCUUCUCGAUCCACAAAAGGCGAGUAGCUUUUUGGUAUCUCUGCAAACAUGAUAUGAAUCAACACAGUUUAUGCUUUUGGUCCCAAAAGAAUGAAAAAGAGCGAUGAAAAAACUCUAUAUUUGCAGGAUUACCUUCAGCAAGAAGCAAAGCUGCUGGAAUUGAAGUUGCCACUAAGGUUCCUACUCCCACAAGAGCUUGCCUUCUCUUCCAAUUGCUUCCGCUGCCUUUUUGGUAAGCUAUUGAAUUGUUAAUAUAUAUAAAUCAGUCCACACAAGUCAAUGUAUUAUGACAAGGGAAAUGUCAACAAGAGUUUGGUUUCUUACUAUUCUCUGAGGAGUCAGCCUUGCCACCGGAUGAAAGUAAACAAGCUUUGAGUGAUGGAUUUGGACAGAGAAUCUCUGUCUGGUAAGAAAUUGAAUCAAUGUCUAUAUAAUCAGUGAAGAAUUAUAAUUUGUAUUUUUCAGAAAUCGAGAUGGAGUGGAAACAGAAGAGUGUAAUUAACCUUGUGGGAGAUUGUUGGUGAGACACCAUAGCGUAUUGAGAGUGACGAGACUGCUGCCAUAAUGGCUACAAUUCACAAGACUUUAGACGAGAUCAAUGAACAUUGCCUUAGUGUUCUUGUGUGUGGAUAAGACAUUUCUGAUUUUCGUCAUUUCUUUGCUUCUCCAUUCAUUAACAUGUGGAUAAAAGGAUAAUGAAAGAUUCAAACAAAUAUGUGGUGACAGAUCGGUUUAAGGUCAUUUACUGAUUAGUGAAGAUACUGCAUUUGUAUGUUUCCAUUUUAUAAUGAGAUUUUGUGAGAAGUCAAAAACAUAGAACUUGAAUUCAACAAUAAACUGCAACAAGAAUGUAUUGUAAAACGUUUUUGCCUCAAAUACUACAAUUAC